rnacentral:rRNA from 1 species
CAGCAGCCACGGUAAAACGAGGGGUGCAAGCGUUAUUCGGAUUGAUUGGGUGUAAAGGGUGUGCAGACGGCUUAUUAAGUCACUUGUUAAAUUCUUCGGCCUAACUGAAGGUCUGCAAGUGAUACUGAUGAGCUAGAGGGUGGAAGAGAGAAGUGGAAUUCUCGGAGUAGCGGUAAAAUGCGUAGAUCUCGAGAGGAACACCAAUGGCGAAGGCAGCUUCUUGGUCCAUUCCUGACGUUCAUACACGAAAGCGUGGGGAGCAAACAGGAUUAGAUACCCCCGUAGUCCCUGUCUAUUAUAC